ACUUUUUUAAAAGAAUCAUGGAAUCAAGGUAUAGAAUGUUAAAAUUUAGUUCUAACCUAAAAUUAUAGGAUUAGUUUUCCUAGGCUAAUUUGGACUAUUUAUUUAUGGUAUUGCAUAGAUUGAGGCUAUUGGAGUUUGUUUGAAGGAAAUUUGGCACUUUCGGAGAGGUUGCAUUCCGGUUAUAAGGCAAGUGUGGUUAACGGUGACCAGAUAGCCGAUACUUGAUUCAUUCUAGCUUCGUUCAGUCCAGUUCAGUCGAGGUGAGCCACCAUUAGAUCAUGGCGGCCUCUUCUUCUUUAGUUGACUUAGUAGUAUUCCGAGCUACGUCUCGUACUUUUAUAUUCAGACUAGUAGUUCCAUGACUUAGACAUUUUAUGGGGUUUAUGGGCAAGACUCAGUAUUUGUAUUUCGCUUCCGCACUUUUCUUUAUAUUAUGAGACUUUGCGUAUUAUUCA